rnacentral:rRNA from 1 species
CCUACGGGAGGCAGCAGUGGGGAAUAUUGGACAAUGGGGGGAACCCUGAUCCAGCCAUGCCGCGUGUGUGAAGAAGGCCCUCGGGUUGUAAAGCACUUUCAGUGAGGAAGAACGCCUGGUGGUUAAUACCCAUCAGGAAAGACAUCACUCACAGAAGAAGCACCGACUAACUCCGUGCCAGCAGCCGCGGUAAUACGGAGGGUGCGAGCGUUAAUCGGAAUUACUGGGCGUAAAGCGCGCGUAGGUGGCUUGAUAAGCCGGUUGUGAAAGCCCCGGGCUCAACCUGGGAACGGCAUCCGGAACUGUCAAGCUAGAGUGCAGGAGAGGAAGGUAGAAUUCCCGGUGUAGCGGUGAAAUGCGUAGAGAUCGGGAGGAAUACCAGUGGCGAAGGCGGCCUUCUGGACUGACACUGACACUGAGGUGCGAAAGCGUGGGUAGCAAACAGGAUUAGAUACCCCAGUAGUC